rnacentral:lncRNA from 1 species
AACUCUUAAAGUAAUGAGGGUUAUUUUUUAAAUGACCCCAAAUUUUAAAACUAUUCUGGCCCAUCCCAUUUUUUUUCUCUUCAGCAGUGAUCCAAAAAGAAUCAGCAACAAUAAUGGCCCAAUAACAUUAGCCUCAAUCAGCCCUCUCUCACUCAAAGUUGAGCCAGUUGUGCAGUCCAACAACACCAGCUAACCCGACCCAACCUCCAAUUCCUCUUCUCCUCAUAUAUGCACAGAAAUAAUGUAACAGCUUUAAUAAACACCACCAACAACAACUCUCAACCCAACAAUGAUGACCCGAUAACCCAACACUAAAAACCGACUUUGAACCAACUCCGAUCGAGUAACGGAACCUCGACCCAACAAAACCCCUUUUUUUGUUCCUCUUCUCAUCUCAAAAUUGUGGGGACCUUCUAGAAAAUAUCCAGGUAGACUAAGAUUCGAAUUCAAUGUAUGGGAGGUACAAUUUUGUACCAAAUAUAGCUCAUUCAUUAUCAUCUUAUCUGAAAAUUCAAAUUUCUUCAAAAGGAAAUUUUUCAAAAAUUGCCCUAAAUUUUGUCAUCCCACACCGAUUGAGAAUUAAAAUCCUCUCUAAUUUGGUUUCCUCUAUAAAGCUCCUUAUUAAGCUAAAGAGGGCAAGUUAUGAGAGGUUAAAAAACUAUAGAGCAAAGGCAGUCUAUUUUUAGUAAAAGUAUUUUUUUUUUCAUUUUCAUGAAAUUUGUCAGCUAAUUGACGUUGCCGAGUUGACGUUGACAUUUUUUCAGUGGUGGCGAAUUCCAACGAAGCUCAAAAUCUCGUUUUGCUACCCAAAAGCUGGUUAGUCUUUGAUUCUCUCUUUUAUACUGUCGCGAUGUAAUAGUUGUAGUCAUAGUAUGAUUUCGAUUAUUGCGUUGUACACUGGGAUUGUUCGCUGUAGAGUGAUUCAAUGGCCAUAGGGAUUUCUUGAAAUGAUUGUCUAUAUAUUGUUUACUGUAUCACCAUCCAUACAAUAGCCUUUGUGCCACGAUUGAUUUCGUACUUUACUGUUAGGUUAUUUUGAGUUCCCUGUUUUUGUGACAAUGUUAAUGGUUAGUAAUUAAUUUGUCGAGGACAUGAUGUUUAGGUCGUCUUUAUGAUUCAAUAAUUUCUAUAGCACUGCUUCGGUAUUGACUUUAUCCCAUGCGUAGUUUUCUCUCGAUUCAUGUUAAAUCGGUUUAACUGAAAAUUCAAUGAAUUAGUCUCGCCAUUUGCUUUCUGGUUUAUGCCUUCAAAAUCAUUGCAAUAUUGGUUUCGUUAGUCCUCAACUUAUUAUUUUUAUAGUUAAAUAUCAUAGUAUGAUCUUGCUUGUAUUCAGCUGAAUAUUUGUUGUUUAAGUUUUCUUUGUCACCUUAGUUCAACAUUGCUAGUGGCUCGCCCGUUCCUUACCGUAUCUUAUGCUUGUUUUUGAAUUGUCGUGAGUAUGUAAAGAUGUUCCUCAAGUUCCUAUUGGCAAGAAAAUGUCAAAAAAGGAUGAAGGAUACAUUGUAUAGGUCCCUUGUUUGAUAGAAUUGCAACGAGGGUUAAUAUUCUCUUGGCAUCAUAAUGAUAGUCUUGAUGCACUAGUGCGAAUGUGUUUAACGUAACCUAACAACCAUAGGAAAAAGAAGAAGAAGCAUGCUUUUUAGGUCUCUUGUAGCUUCAAAAGCUUCUGUUUUAUUUGUUUUCCAUGAAAGUGGGUUCUUUUAUUAUUUUUUGAUCUUUUUCCUUUUAGUUCGAAUACCGUGGUUUCUUUAUUUCUCUCUUAAUGACAUUUAUUAGCGCCUGAUUUCAGAUUCAAUGUCCUAAUAGGGUUAAAAAAUGUAAGUCACUAUUUUCGUCUAAAUAUUUCAAGUUUGAGUAGUUGUAUUCUUAACGUGCUAGUUUGAUAUUGAUUAUGUAGUUUGUGUUAGCUGUAAGGCUGUUUCCGAAAUUAUUUCUUAGCUGAUAAUAUCUUAUUAGCAGUCUGUUACUUUAAAUUAUCUCUUCUUCAUUUUCUUGUCUCUAGUCUGUAAAAGCUGAAUUUGGUUAUCUAGUUGGAUUUUGUCAAAUCUUAGACAAAAGGCGAUAACAUCUUAUAAUAUACUAGGAUUUUCUUGGCUUACAAAUUUGUUAGUUCUCUGGUUUGUUUGAGUUUGCAUCUAAUUGUCCCUUCCCUUUUACCUAUUCAUUUAAUCUCUUAAGAAGUUCAUUUCAUGUCUUUACUUUACUUUGUUUAAAUUUUUAUUAUCAUUCCUUAUGGUCUCCCUGUUUGAUUUUCCAUGUAUGAGUUUGAUUCAUAUUUCUUUGUUGUCCAAAUUAUUCAUUGUUUGUAAAAACAUAUUAAUUUCUUCAUCUUUUACUUUGCAUGAACCCGUCUGAGAGUCCAAAUGGACUCUUUUUCUUUGUAUUUCAUAAUGGCCAAUAAGGCCCAUCUCAUUGAGUCGAGCUCGAAAGAAAGCCUUAGGUCAAAUGGCAUACGUAUACGAGAAGUUGGAAGAAGGAAAAUUAACCGCAGGCCCCCUGGUUGAAGUAGCUAAGAGACUCGAAGAGUCUCAUUUUCCCUUAUUUAUUUAUUUAUUUAUUUAUUUAUUAUCACUUUAUUUAUUUUUAAGUUAUUUAUUUAGGCCUUGAAGCCAAAGUUGUAUUUUAAUACAGGUGAAGCAAAACUCGAGCCAAAGAUUCAAAAAAAUAGUUUAGGACAUGUUAUGGACCGAAAGCCAAAUGUUUAGAUUAUGGCAGGUGAAGAGAGGCCAAAAGCCUAAUUAGAUUAGGAAAGAGUUUAUUGAUUUGGGCCCAAUGGUUUAAGUCUUUUAUUUUCUCCCAUUUCCCCUUUUAUGUGCUAUUUUCUUCUUUAUUCUCUUAGACUUAGACUUAGUUGAAAUUCCCGCUAAGUCAUCAAAAUUUGCUUUGCAUAAAUCUAGAAAACAAAAUUUUGCCUUGAUCGAUUUCUUUUGAAAAAUCAACAUUUUUAUUUUAGAAAUUAAUCAAAAGAAUUAUUUUCAAAUAGUCCGAAUAACCACAAGUUAGCGGACAUUUUAGGUGCCUUAAAAACUUUCCUAAAAUAUUAAUGAGAACCGCUUACCAAAAAUUCUAAACUAAAAUAAUUUUUUCUGUUUUGAAACCAUUUGAGUAACUUAUAAAGGUUUUAUUAAUUUUUCUAAAUAAAUUGAGCGGCGACUCUAAAAAGUCAUUUUUCCGCAAAACACUUAAGGUAUGCGUAUUCUUUAAUAUCUUUGUAAAUGUCUUUGAUAAAGGAAAUUGUGGUUGUGUUUUGUGUUAAAUCCUGCUAAUGAAUGCCUUGACUCAUCAUUUGAGGGUGAAUGAUCCUAAGGGGAGAUGAAGAAACACCCCGUAUUUUGGUCCCUAAAAACUUCUUGACCUUUUAGCUCACUGCCCAGACUACGACUCAUCAUACGAGUCGUUGGGUGUCAUUACGGGUCUUAGGACCCUAAUUGUAGCCUGACCAGUGUGUUUGGCUAAGUCUCAGUGUUGGUCACGAUUUGCACCCAAUGAGUCAUCAAGACUCAUUACGAGUCGUAUAGUGGUUCUUGUAGCCUAACAAAUAAAAGUGUCAAAUAUUUCUGUCUUGCCUACAAUUUAACCUAAUGAUUCAUAAGGUCUGCAUACGAUUCAUAGGGAAUGAAUCGUAGUCAGACCAGUGUUGGUGCCCAUGGAUAUUGUCCAACCUACGACUAAAUUUCAAGAGUUGUAGGGUGACCCUACGAGUCGUAAGUUCAUAUGUAACGACUGGGAAACUAUUUUACAGUCUUUUAUUAAGGGCACUUUGGACAUUUACCUCCUUCCCUACUUAGACCCCAUGUACAUAAAACACCUUGGGCCAUUAUUUCCAACUCUUAUCAAUCAUAAACACUCUCUUUCCUCUCUCAAAUCCCUAAGUCAAGAAUACCAAAGGUUUCCAAGGAAUUGACAAUUAGGGAUCUACGGGUUAUUUCUUCUUCAAAUUUCUUGGUGAUUAAGGAAUGUAUCUGUCUCCCUAAACUCGCGUUUAAUUAUUUCAUGAAUUAGUUUAACAUUCACAUGAUUUUAAUGUUGGGUUUUGAAUAAUGGGCUAGGUAUUUUGGAUGUAAAUUGUUUAAAUGAUUUUUCUAUAUUUAUUAUGGAUUAAUUAUACUUGAAUAUCUGAUUUGUAGAG